GUGCCAGCAGCCGCGGUAAUACGUAGGUGGCAAGCGUUAUCCGGAUUCACUGGGCGUAAAGAGCGCGUAGGUGGUCCUUCAAGUCAGAUGUUAAAUCUCCCGGCUUAACUGGGAGUUGUCAUCUGAUACUGCUGGACUUGAGGGCGGUAGAGGGAGGUGGAAUUCCCGGUGUAGUGGUGAAAUGCGUAGAUAUCGGGAGGAACACCAGUGGCGAAAGCGGCCUCCUAGGCCGUUCCUGACACUGAGGCGCGAAAGCGUGGGGAGCGAACAGGAUUAGAUACCCGGGUAGUCC
rnacentral:rRNA from 1 species